rnacentral:rRNA from 1 species
GGGCGGGUCUCUCUGCGGUACCGUCACUUGCGCUUCGUCCCUGCUGAAAGAGGUUUACAACCCGAAGGCCGUCAUCCCUCACGCGGCGUUGCUGGAUCAGGCUUUCGCCCAUUGUCCAAUAUUCCCCACUGCUGCCUCCCGUAGGAGUCCCCCCGUGCCCCCGCCCCGCCCGCCGCGCGGGGGGGGGAGGGCGG